AUUAAGCGUGGUCGUGGGUUUCAGUAUCCAACGUUUAACCGUCCGUCUUGUUUGAAUUUUUUCUAGAUUAGUAUUUUUUUUAUUAGAUGAUAAAACACGAAUAGUACUUUAUGCGUGACUUAAUUUUUAAAAAAAAAAUUCAUAAAUUUUUAAAUAAGACAAACGAUCAAAUGUUGAACAUGUAAAUUUAUGGUUACACUUAAA
rfam:Oryza meridionalis cultivar OR44 (W2112) chromosome 2, whole genome shotgun sequence.